rnacentral:rRNA from 1 species
GACGAGGGGUCCAAGCGUUGUUCGGAAUCAUUGGGCGUAAAGCGGGUGUAGGCGGCUCUAUAAGUCAGGAGUGAAAGCCCCAAGCUUAACUUGGGAAGUGCUUUUGAUACUGCAGAGCGUUGAAGUGUGGGAGAGGGUAGUGGAAUUCCAGGUGUAGUGGUCGAAAUACGUAGAUAUCUGGAGGAACACCGGUGGCGAAGGCGGC